UUGGGUGCUGGAACUGCAAUGAGAUGGUUUUUUCGACUCCGCAACCGGUGAAUUACGGCUGAUUAUAGGGACGUAACGGAGGCACCGGAUUGGGCGGAGAGGCCUCAUAAACACCCAGUGGAGUGCUCGGACCAAGAUUAAGAAUCUACCAAUCCCGCAUUGAGUCCAGGGUAUUAGGAAGGGAAGAUUUACAGAUGGGAAACUAAAACCAAUUACCAAAAUCUGACAGAGUCACUCGAUUCAUCAGGGCCUGAAUAUCAUCGGUCUCUGAACAUGGAAGGAGAAAUGUUUGUCUGUGGGAAAAGAUUUCAAACAUCAGUGUGACCGGAAAAGCACUGAGACACGUACACCUGAGUGUGAGUGUUCCAGUGUCCCGGUACACAGCCUGAAAAUAAUGACACCAUUCACAGCGAGGAGAAAAUGUACACGUGUUCUGUGUGUGGACUAAGUUUCAGCUGAUCUUCCAAGUUGAAGAGACAGAAGGAUACCAGCACCAUGGAGAAACCAUGGAAAUGUGGGGACUGUGGGAAGGGAUUCAAAUACCAAUCGUGGCUGGAAACUCAGUGACACAUUCACACUGGGGAGAGACCAUUCCCCUGCUCCUUGUGUGGGAAGGGAUUCACUCGGUCAUCCGAGCUUCUGAGACACCAACUCACUCACACUGAGGAGAGGCCGUUCACCUGCUCCAUGUGUGGGAAGGGAUUCAUUAAUUCAUCAGACCUUCGGACAUACCAGAGAGUUCACACUCGGGAGAGGCCAUUCACCUGCUCCACCUGUGGGAAGGGAUUCUCUCGGUCAUCCCACCUCACUGCAUACCAAAUGGUUCAUACAGAUAAGUGACCUUUUAAAUGUUCUGACUGUGAGAAGAGCUUUAAAUGCAGGUACCAGUUGCUAACACACCAAUGUACGCACACUGGGGUGAGGUUGUUCACCUUCUCCGAGUGUGGGAAAGGAUUCACUCAUUCAUCUCACCUGGUGAGACACCAGUGAGUUCACAAAUGACUGCAGGGGUUGGAUUCUGCUGUUGUUAACCACAUCCAGGACUGAACCAUCUUCAUUCUGAAAUUCCGUGUUUAUUUCUGCUGAUGUUAAUAAUUGAACUAAAGUUUAAUAUUCUGGUUAUAUUCAAAUAAAUCAGCAUUGCUUCAAA